rnacentral:rRNA from 1 species
UACGUAGGGUGCAAGCGUUAAUCGGAAUUACUGAGCGUAAAGCGUGCGCAGGCGGUGAUGUAAGACAGAUGUGAAAUCCCCGGGCUCAACCUGGGAACUGCAUUUGUGACUGCAUCGCUGGAGUACGGCAGAGGGGGAUGGAAUUCCGCGUGUAGCAGUGAAAUGCGUAGAUAUGCGGAGGAACACCGAUGGCGAAGGCAAUCCCCUGGGCCUGUACUGACGCUCAUGCACGAAAGCGUGGGGAGCAAACAGG